rnacentral:rRNA from 1 species
GACGAACGCUGGCGGCGUGCUUAACACAUGCAAGUCGAACGGAAAGGCCCUGCUUGCAGGGUGCUCGAGUGGCGAACGGGUGAGUAACACGUGGGUGAUCUGCCCCUUACUUUGGGAUAAGCCUGGGAAGCUGGGUCUAAUACUGGAUAGGACCAUGCUGUAGGUGGUGUGGUGGAAAGAUUAGUUUCGGUAAGGGAUGAGCUCGCGGCCUAUCAGCUUGUUGGUGGGGUAAUGGCCUACCAAGGCGUCGACGGGUAGCCGGCCUGAGAGGGUGGACGGCCACUUUGGGCCUGGGAUACGGCCCAGACCCCUCCGGGGGGCAGGAGGGGGGAAUAUUGCACAAUGGGCGCAAGCCUGAGGCAGCACCGCCGCGUGGGGGAUGCGGGCCUUCGGGUUGUAAACCCCUUUCGCCCAUGACGAAGCCCUUGUGGUGACGGUAGUGGUAGAAGAAGCACCGGCUAACUACGU